rnacentral:rRNA from 1 species
GAUCCUGGCUUAGGAUGAACGCUAGCGGCAGGCUUAACACAUGCAAGUCGAGGGGCAGCGGGAUGUAGCAAUACAUUGCCGGCGACCGGCGGAUGGGUGCGUAACGCGUAUGCAACCUACCUUAUACAGGGGAAUAACCUUUCGAAAGGGAGACUAACACCCCAUAGUAUUGAUUUAAGGCAUCUUAGAUUAAUUAAAUAUUUAUAGGUAUAAGAUGGGCAUGCGUAUGAUUAGCUAGUUGGUAAGGUAACGGCUUACCAAGGCGACGAUCAUUAGGGGUUCUGAGAGGAAGGUCCCCCACACUGGUACUGAGACACGGACCAGACUCCUACGGGAGGCAGCAGUGAGGAAUAUUGGUCAAUGGGCGCAAGCCUGAACCAGCCAUGCCGCGUGCCAGGAAGACGGCCUUAUGGGUUGUAAACUGCUUUUACAUAAGACUAACCGUAUAUUUGCGAAUAUACCUGAAUGUAUUAUGAGAAUAAGGAUCGGCUAACUCCGUGCCAGCCGCAGC